GUUUCCCAGCACUCGCUUCACAUGCACUAAAAUUGUAACCAUACAGAGAUUAGCGUGGCCCCUGCACAAGGACGACAGGCAAAUGUGUGAAGUGUUCCAUGCAUUU
rfam:Myotis brandtii contig317347, whole genome shotgun sequence.